AAUUUCCCUAGAUGGUAUAUGAAAAGUAUCAACAAUCUGUUGUAAAGGCAUAAAAUUAUCGCCCAACAUAAGAUCGGAAAUCCUUAGUUUUUCAGUAUCUGCCCAGUGGAUCAAAAGAAGGUCAUCAAUAUUUAUCUCUAAUAUCUUAAGUCUACACGACCUAGGUAUUAAUUGCUGAAAGCCCAAAGUUUUUUUAAUUUC